GGGGGAGCCGGUUUUAUCGGGUCGAACGUCGUCGCCGCCCUCAACGAUGCGGGCCGCGCGGAUGUGGCCGUAUGCGAUUUUCUCGGGAAUGACGGCAAAUGGCGCAAUCUCGCCAAGCGGCAACUCGCCGACGUGGUUCCCCCGGCUGAACUGAUGCAAUGGCUGAACGGCCGCAAGCUCGACGCCAUCAUCCAUCUCGGCGCGAUUUCGGAGACCACCGCCACCGACGGCGAUCUCGUGAUCGAGACCAAUUUCCGCCUGUCGAUGCGGCUGCUCGACUGGUGCACGGCGAAUUCCGUUCCGUUCAUCUACGCC
rnacentral:misc_RNA from 1 species